rnacentral:rRNA from 1 species
GGAUCAAAUUGUCGGUCGUGCCUCGGUACGCACUGGUAUUAUUGAUUUCUCCCUUCUGAAGAACCGCGAUUGUCAUUAAUUUGGUGUCGUGGGGAAUCAGGACUGUUACUUUGAAAAAAUUAGAGUGUUUAAAGCAGGCUUACGCUUGAAUACAUUAGCAUGGAAUAAUGAAAUAGGACGUUUGAUUCUAUUUUGUUGGUUUCUAGGAUCGACGUA